GCUGCAAAAACAACCUGGAUAGCUUGCUUGCUUGCUUUCUUGCUUUCUUGCUUGCUUGCUUUCUUGCUUGCUUUCUUUCUUGCUUUCUUUCUUGCUUGCUUGCUUGCUUGCUUGCUUUCCUUCUUUCUUUCUUUCUUUCUUUCUUUCUUUCUUUCUUUCUUUCUUUCUUUCUUUCUUUCUUUCUUUCUUUCUUUCUUUCUUUUUUUUCUUUGAGAUGGAGUUUGCUCUUGUUGCUCAGGCUGGAGAGUGCAAUUGUGCAGUCUCAGCUCACUGCAACCUCUCCGCUUCCCAGGUUCAAGCAAUUCUCCUGCCUCAGGCUCCCGAGUACCUGGGAUUACAGGGGUGUGCCACUGUACCCAGCUGAUUUUUGUGUUUUUAGUAGAGAUGAGGUUUCACCAUGUUGGCCAGGCUGGUCUUGAACUCCUGACCUCAGGGCAUCCACCCACCUGGGCCUCCCAAAGUGCCGGAUUAUAGGCGUGAGCCACUGCACCUGGCCCACAAUGUGGACAGCUUCUGAUUGUGACCCCCAAAAUCACGGGUCUUGGUUGAGUCUGUUUCCACAUCUGAACUUCAGUUUAGGGAUACUGCAGUGUACUUCUGCUGGAUUUGCCCCUACAGUAUUCCUCUGGGGAAACAACCCUACUCCACUCAUCCUCCCACAAGAAGUCACUUCUUGGCCAGGCACGGUGGCUCACGCCUGUAAUCUCAGCACUUUGAGAGGCUGAGGCGGGUGGAUCACAAGGUCAGGAGUUUGAGACCAGCCUGAUCAACAUGGUGAAACCCCACCUCUACUAAAAAUACAAAAAUUAGCCAGGUGUGGUGGCACGCACCUGUAAUCCAAGUUACUCAGGAGGCUGAGACAGAAGAAUGGCUUGAACCCAGGUGGCAGAGGUUGCAGUGAACCAAGAUUGUGCCACUGCACUCCAGCCUGGAUGAAAGAGCAAGAGUCCAUCUCAAAAAAAAAAAAAAAAAAAAUUACUUCUCAUAUCCCAACUCAGGAGGGCACACAGCUCAUGUCUGCCUCACUUUCAUUCUGUAAGGGCUAGUGGGUGAGAUGGAUUGCAUCUGUGACAUUAAUUCUUCACCCUGCUCCCCGCAUGCAUGCUGUUGCAUUCCUCUCACUAAAAAGGAGGAAGCCCGUUUCUCCAUCCUUGACACUGGAGUUGCCAAUCAGAUGCAGUGGAAGUGGGGGUGAGUCACUGUGGUGCUGAGACCUGCCUGGUGAGUUUCCACUGGCUACUGUUGUGCUUUGCUAUUGAUAUCAUCCCUACCAUCUCCAUAGGAGUGACAAAAAUUGCAUGCUGGGUUCUGGAGAGAAAUAUAAUUCAGCAUUCAUUAGGCUGCACUCUUACCCAUUUCCUUGUUAUUAAAGUCACAGCACUAGAUACUGACCAUUGCAUUCCUAUCAUUCCUAUAGACAGGAUCUCUGACAUGAGAGUCACAGGCUGUUUAAGAAUUGAUUUGCAUACCCAUUGUUCCUAUAGACAGGAUCUCUGGCAUUAGAAUCAUAAGGCUUUUGUUUAAAGAUCACUUUAGAUGUUUUUCAGGUCCUGAAUUCCAGUGGAAUAGCUGAAGCCCACCAGUUCGAAGAUUCCCAGGGAGGAACCAAAUCGACACAUGAAUACAGCUUCUUUCAUCCCCCUGUCCAAUGACUUCGCCCUGUACUCUUUGACCAAUCAAUGAGCUCCACAUUUUAGCCUACUCCAAAACCCUUAAAAACGCUUACCCCAAAUCCCUCAGAAAUGGACUUGAGGUUUCCUCCUAUCUUGUUGUUUGGUAGCCUACGAUUAAACCUCUUUCUCUGCUGCAACCUGGUGUCUUGGGGUGUUGACUUGCAGAACACAUCUGGCAAUGGAUCUGUUACAGUUAUGCAUUCACCAUGGGAACAUGCCUGCUGGAGAAGGAAAAACGUGUGGAGCAGAGCCAACUCACUCCAGUCUCCUCAACCGGUAGCCAACCAACUCCCAGAGUGCCAGAGGCUUGCGUAAGUAAGUUUGCACCUUGCUGAGCUGUUAAGAGGCUGUGAUGACAGUUGCCCCCACAAGAUUUCACCAGUACCUGGAAAUAAGUAUGACUCACUCCUGACUCAGUUUUGGUGACCACGAGGGCACAGCAAUUCUGAGAAAGACUGGGCCAGGUUGUUCUUCUACGUCAGUGAUUUAACUCAUGCCAUAGAUGGUAGAAACCAACCAUUUCAGACCUGAAGGAGAUGGCAAAGAUGAGAUCAUCAAAGACUCAUGGUUUCCUGUGGAGAUAACCAGAGGCAGAGGGGCGGAGGCAGUGCUGGUGGAGUCUGGCAUCCCAUGCAGGACUAAGAAGAUGGGCUUUGCGGGCAGAGAGAUGGAGACUCCUUCCAUGUAAACAUCCACAUACUCUGGGGAAACCUGCUGCCAAAGUAGGAGGAUUCCAAAGGACCUAGAGGAAGAAAAAGCUACAAUAUGGAAGACACCUGAGUUUCUGAAGGACUGUGUGGAGCACUUCCUUCUGCUGAUGAACAUGUG
rnacentral:lncRNA from 1 species